UUAUCAAAAUUUAAUAAAUAUCUGCUAAAUUAGUUUUAAUACAUUUGCCAAAAGUUCAAACCAACACGUGGUGAACAUAUGUAAGUAACAAACUUACCAAGUUCAAAAUAUUGUGAUGUAGAAUAUGUUGACAGCAUUCAUCUCGUUCAAUUUAUUCAACAGCGACGCUAUAUACAGCAAGCCACAUUAUUAUGAUAAUGAAGUUAGUGAUCUUCACUUGGGUGUUCUAAAGACAGCGUUGUACAAUUACUUGUUCUCUCGCCAGCACAAUAGACACUUUCUGCUGCGAAUCGAAAAUACUGACCAGACCAGAUUGCAACCUGGAGCUACGGAGAGGCGGC